UACGGGGGGGGUAAGCGUUGUUCGGAAUUACUGGGCGUAAAGGGCUCGUAGGCGGCCAACUAAGUCGGAUGUGAAAUCCCCAGGCUCAACCUGGGAACUGCAUCCGAUACUGGAUGGCUUGAAUUCGGGAGAGGGAUGCAGAAUUCCAGGUGUAGCGGUGAAAUGCGUAGAUAUCUGGAGGAAUACCGGUGGCGAAGGCGGCAUCCUGGACCGACAUUGACGCUGAGGAGCGAAAGCUAGGGGAGCAAACGGG
rnacentral:rRNA from 1 species